rfam:Acidimicrobium sp. BACL17 MAG-120823-bin4 contig00111_1_120823-bin4, whole genome shotgun sequence.
UUGACUGCAUCGAAGUUGCCCGACGCACAGGCGGCUUAUGAAAGCUCAGCAACUCUUUUGCCGACUUUGAUGGCUGGCACCAAUUUCGUUCUUCAUGCCG